rnacentral:rRNA from 1 species
CACGUAAAGAACCGGCCCUUAGGUCGGGAAUAACCACAAGAAAUCGGGGUUAUUACCGAAGGUGUCAUCGAACCGCAGGGUCGGUUGAUGAAAGGCGCUCCGGCGUCCCCCAGGGUGGGUUUUGCGGGGCAUUACUUAUUUGGGGGGGUAUGGCCGCCACCAGGGCGACAAUGCUUAGCCAACUGAGAAAGGUGGAUCGGCCACACGGGAACGGAAACACGGCCAAAACUCUUACGGAAGGCACCAUUAGGAAUUCUUCCACAAUGGAACAAAAGUCUGAGGAACCACCGCCCCGGGACGAAUGAAGGUUUUCGAAUCGUAAAGUUCUGUUGUAAGGGAAAAACCAGUGGCCGCAGGCAAUGGCCGGCACCUUGACGGUACCUGGCGAGAAAGCCACGGCUAACUACGUGGCCAGCAGCCGCGGUAAUACGUAGGUGGCAAGCGGUUGUCCGGAAAUUAUUGGGCGGUAAGGCGCGCGGCAGGGCGGCCUCUCUAAGUUCUGAUGUGAAAGCCCCCGGCUCACCCGGGAAGGGCCAUUGAAAACUGGGAAGGCUUGAGAUAAUAGGAGAGAAGAAGUGGAAUUCCACGUGUAGCGGUGAAAUUGCGUAGAGAUGUGAAGGAACCACCAGUGGCCGAAGGCGACUCUUUGGCCUAUAACUGACGCUGAGGCGCGAAAGCGUGGGGAGCAAACAGGAUUAGAUACCCCUGGUUAGUCCACGCCGGUAAAACGAUGGAGUUGCUAGGUGUUGGAGGGGUUUCCGCCCUUUCAGUUGCUGAAGCUAACGGCAUUAAGCAACUCCCGCCUGGGGAGUACGGUCCGCAAGGCUGAAACUUCAAAGGAAUUGACGGGGGAACCCGCACAAGCGGGUGGAAGCAUGGUGGUUUAAUUCGAAGCAACGCGAAGAACCUUACCAACUCUUGACAUCCCCCUGACCGGUACAGAGAUGUAUCUUCCCCUUCGGGGGCAGGGGUGACCAGGUGGGUGCAUGGUUGUCGUCAGCUUCGUGUCGUGAGAUGUUGGGUUAAGUCCCGCAACGGAGCGCAACCCUUUGUCCUUAGUUGCCAGCAUUCAGUUGGGCACUCUAAGGAGACUGCCGGUGACAAACCGGAGGAAGGUGGGGAUGACGUCAAAUCAUGCAUGCCCCUUAUGAGUUGGGCUACACACCGUGCUACAAUGGACGGUACAAAGGGCAGCGAAGCCGCGAGGGUGGAGCCAAUCCCAGAAAGCCGUUCUCAGUUCGGAUUGCAGGCUGCAACUCGCCUGCAUGAAGUCGGAAUCGCUAGUAAUCGCAGGUCAGCAUACUGCGGUGAAUACGUUCCCGGGUCUUGUACACACCGCCCGUCACACCACGAGAGUUUGCAACACCCGAAGUCGGUGAGGUAACCGUAAGGAGCCAGCCGCCGAAG